AGGAACAGCCAACACCAUUCUCACUGGAGGGGUGGGGACAGGAAGAGCCCAGCAGCUCAGGGUGGCUCGCCCCCCCCCCCCUGUGAACAAUGAUCAGUCUGCUCCCCCCUCCAACAAGAGCCCUGGAGCCACAGGAGCAGAGACAUGAGAUUGGGGCGUAGAUCAAGAUAUUCUGGCACUGGGCCUGGAGAGAGAACGGGGGACGGAGCGUCAGAGCUUCCCUGCCACAAGGGACGCGUGGCCACCCCGGCACCGGGGGAGCCAUUCCCAGACAUUUCCUGGGAGGGCGGCAGAGAUGGAGGAAGGGAAUUGGCCGCUCUCCCUUUGCAGAACGGACAGCAAGGUGGCUUUGAGCUUCCUGCCCUCAUCCUUGGCCUGGCCCAGCUGCCUCUGAAGCUGCUUCUCCUUCUGGGCGUCCUCCUGCAGCCGCCCGGUGAGCUCGGCCACGUCCCGCUCCAGCUCGGCCACGCGGCCCCCCAGGGCUGAGGUCUCAUUGGCUGCCUGCUCCCGGCAUCCCUGCAGCAUCCGCACUGCCUCCGAGUGCCACAUCAUCACCGCCACGGAGAUCGUCACGGCGGCGACCAGGAAGAUCAGGACCACGCACAGCCCCAGCACCUUCAGGGUGGCUUUGGUCACUGAGGGGUCCAUGGUCACGGUGCCGCGACCUGCUGCCUGCAGCUGCUGCUGCCGUGUGCUGGCAGCCAGCAGCCAGGUCACUGCCUGUGUCACUUUAAUUACUACGUGUGGGCUUCCUUCACCAAAAAAGCUCCUGCCUCUGGUUUCUGCAGGUCACGGCCCACGGACCAUUAUAGAAUUGUCACAUGCUGGAGAGGGCCCCGGACUGGGCCCU